UGGGGAAUUGUUCACAAUGGGCGCAAGCCUGAUGACGCAACGCCGCGUGGAGGAUGAAGGUCUUCGGAUUGUAAACUCCUGUUGCUCGGGACGAAAAGCUUCGACCUAACACGUCGAAGUCUGACGGUACCGAGUGAGGAAGCCCCGGCUAACUCUGUGCCAGCAGCCGCGGUAAUACAGAGGGGGCAAGCGUUGUUCGGUAUUACUGGGCGUAAAGGGCGCGUAGGUGGCCUUCUAAGUCGAACGUGAAAUCCCUGGGCUCAACCCAGGAACUGCGUCCGAGACUGGGAGGCUUGAAUCCGGGAGAGGGAUGCGGAAUUCCAGGUGUAGCGGUGAAAUGCGUAGAUAUCUGGAGGAACACCGGUGGCGAAGGCGGCAUCCUGGACCGGUAUUGACACUGAGGCGCGAAAGCCAGGGGAGCAAACGGGAUUAGAUACCCUAGUAGUCCCUGAGCGGGCUGGCAAGGCGCAU
rnacentral:rRNA from 1 species